UGAACGAAAGUUUGACUAAGUUAUAUUAAUUAGAGUUGGUAAAUCUCGUGCCAGCCACCGCGGUCAUACGAUUAACCCAAAUUAAUAGAUCCACGGCGUAAAGAGUGUUUAAGAAAAAAAAUCACAAUAGAGUUAAAUUAUAACUAAGCUGUAAAAAGCCCUAGUUAAAAUAAAAUAACCCACGAAAGUGACUCUAAUAAUCCUGACACACGAUAGCUAGGACCCAAACUGGGAUUAGAUACCCCACUAUGCCUAGCCCUAAACCCAAAUAGUUACAUAACAAAACUAUUCGCCAGAGUACUACUCGCAACUGCCUAAAACUCAAAGGA
rnacentral:rRNA from 1 species